UACGUAGGGCGCAAGCGUUGUCCGGAAUUAUUGGGCGUAAAGAGCUCGUAGGCGGUUUGUCGCGUCUGCUGUGAAAACCUAAGGCUCAACCUUGGGCUUGCAGUGGGUACGGGCAGACUAGAGUGCGGUAGGGGUGACUGGAAUUCCUGGUGUAGCGGUGGAAUGCGCAGAUAUCAGGAGGAACACCGAUGGCGAAGGCAGGUCACUGGGCAGUAACUGACGCUGAGGAGCGAAAGCGUGGGGAGCGAACAGG
rnacentral:rRNA from 1 species